rnacentral:pre_miRNA from 1 species
AGCGAAGGGGACGCCUGAAGACUCCGUAGUUAUAUGUAUAGCUUUUAUUUUCGAGUUUCUCUUUUAGUUAG